rnacentral:lncRNA from 1 species
UUUAGCAGACACUAAACAUUUGUUGUACUCUAAACAAAGUUACAAAGGACUAGAAGAAUUCUUGUUCUGUAUUUAGAAACCCACUCACAUUACUUGAUAUUUGGGUAUUUAAGUCAUGAAAGGUAUUUCUUCUAGGAAGCAGUGAUUCUAAAGUGUAUGCUUAACCAGUCAGUUGAGUGUCUACUCUUGUGUGUUCACAAGUGUGCACAAAGUUUUUGGUAAAUUAAGAAUAUUAUUUCAAAUAAAUUAAUUUCAUCCCCAUAGGAGCCAGUUUAUCAGAUAAUUCGUUUCUCAUUUCUGCAAAUCAAUACACAAUGAGCUCAUAUUCAGAUAAAUUGAGCUCAUAUCCAGAUAAAUAUAAUAGUUUUUCUUUAUUUCAACAUUGUUCAUUGAUUGCAACCCAUUUCUAAAACAAAUUAUUUAAUAUAACAAAACUCCUUUAACUUCUCAACUUUUCCCACUAAAACUGUGAAACAUUAUAUAAAAUCUUUAAUCAAUAGGAUAUGAUACAUAUUUCAUCAUUUUGUUUCAGGUUUUGGUUGUGAUAAAUAACACUGAAAAACCAUCCUAAUAUAUGUAUUAACUUUAUCAUUAGAAAAGGGGAUUGUUCAAAAAAAAAUCAAUACACAGAAAC